UGACAGGGCUGGACUCAGGGCCGGCUUCAGGCACCAGCUUUCCGAGCAGGUGCUUGGGGCGGCAAUGAGAAUGAGGUGGCAGUCUGUGUCCCGCAGCAGCAAUUCAGUGGCAGCCCCGCCGCUCUUCCUGCCAUGGCGGCAAUUUGGCAGCGACUGCUUGGGGCAGCAAAAUAGGUAGAGCUACUCCUGGUGGGCGGGGUCAGCUCCCCGGGUGGCAUACCAGGUGGACAGGGUGACCAGAUGACUUGCCAGCUGGCCAGCUCACCAGCUUCCUGUUUUUUUAAAAUGUAUUUUAUAUUACCUUAUUUUUAUGGGUUUUUUAAAAAUUUUAUAGUGAUAUUUUCAUUUUAUUUAUAUUAUUUUUAUUUUAUGUUGUUAUUUUAUUGUUUUAUUUUUAUAUUUCAUAUAUUAUACCAAUUUAAUAUAGGAAAUUAUCCAUUAUCAAACCAGUUACCAAAGCAAAUACCAGUUAUCACUUAGAACAGCAUUUACAAAUGAAAAAUUAGAAUACCAGUUGAGCAGAUCAAAUUCCAAUUACCAAACCAAUCAGAAUCACAAUGACAUGACAUAGUAGCUGAAACCUUUAUUUAUAUUAUAUUACAGAGUCAUGGUGUAAAUGCGUAGACAAAUAGGAUACAGAAAAUAUACCAGAUUCUGCUGUCACUGGCGCCAGUGUAAAUCCAUUGUAAGGUCACAGAUUUACUCUUGAUAUACCUCAGUGUAACUGAGAUCAGAGUCAGUUCAAACAUACGUAGUACU